CAAAACAAACAACUCCCCCAAAAAUAUAAAAGAGAUAAAACUUACCUAGUUAAGUGUAUGAAACUACUAUAUAGAGCUACUUCAGAGCAACUACUUGAGAAUGAAUCUAUUCUGGUCUUAGAGUCUUUGCAGACAAGCCCUUGGCUAACUUACUCUAAACCUCUAAAAUAGACAAACCAGUGUCAACGUCAAUGCCCAAGGGCCUAACUCAGCCAGCUUUUCCCAUUAAAAGCAUUAUGCUUUGUCUGCAUCAGACUUUUAAAAUGUAUCAUCUAAUAUGUGCUAAUGACACGUAUUUAAACCCUAGUCUAGACAAAGCCUGUGCGAUUGCCCUCUGAAUGCUUGAUGCGAUCAGCUAACAUCCUGACAACAGAUAUGAUUACCCCAUUUUAAUCAUGCAAGGCUAUAAACAUUGCAGAAUUAUCCAGACUUUCCUGGUAGUAAAGAACAAACUCUGAAGGCUGUGCAUGGGAUCCAAGCUCCUGAAGACCCUCAUGGGGUGAGACCUUUGCCCUUGCACAAACAAGCCUAUCAGCGGGGUUGUAAAAGCCAGGCUUUAGCAUACAGAAACAAUUCUAUGCAGAGGAAUCUGUUAUUCCAGAAGGGUGAAGAAAAUGACCUAAGUGAUUAACUUGGACUACUGCUUUGACAUGUGUGGUUAGCUAAUAGUCUGAAAGGAAUCAAGAGCAGAGCUGAGACUUCGUGUCUGUAUACAGCAUUGAUCAGACUAAUUCAUGUAACAGCUUUUUUCUGCACAUUUUGAAACAGGUGUUGAAAAAUUGGAAAGGAUAUUAAAAACCAGGAUGCAAUGAUUUGAGAAAGAGAAGAUAAAUGCUUUAUAGCAAAACACUUAAAAGCUCAAUCUGUUUAGUUUAUGAGGAAGAAUACUGAGAAGUAAAUAGAUUACAAAAUAUAAGUAACUUCAUGGGGAGAAAAUAUGCAGUACUAAAGGAUUAUUUAAUCUUGCAGAGAAAAGCAAAACUGGCUAGAAGCAGCCAGAAAAAAAAAAAAAAAGAAGUUAGGAAGUAAGGACACAAUUUUGACAGUAAUAAUCUCUUCUAACAAACUAUGGAGAAAAAAAAAAAAUCAUUUCCAUCACUUGAUAACCUUGAUUACGGUUGGAUGCUUUUAUGGGAGAUGUAUUUUAAUCCACCAUAUGCUAUUGGGAUCACUACAGAACUAACUGUGACAUGGCUAAGAUAUGAGCAGUCCAAGUGGAUGGGUUUUUUUAGGCUUCAAUAUAUGUAUAUAAAAGUACAAAAAUUGUCAAGAAGUAUUUACCAGCCAGAAAUCUGAGCAAAUACUUAUAAUAUGGCUGUGGUAGGAUUGCAGGAAUGCUCUCUGCUAGGUUUGAAGGAAUACAUAUUUUUUUCCUCUUCCUGCCCCCCAAAUAUCCCCAUUGAGAGGGAGUAUGACACUGGAGUCAGACCAUUAAGUCUGAAUAGUCACAAUGUUUAUUACUCAGUGUGAGGCAAAACACUUAAUCAGAGGUACUCCUUAGUGUAUCCAUUUGAUUUUGUUUAUGAAUUAGGAUUUCCAAGUAUUCAAUGUAAUGAGUUUAUGUAGUCUGGAGUUCUGCACCUUGUAAGCAUUAUUUCCUGAUUUGGCUGCUUUUUCCACUGACUUGGUUUUGAAACAGUUUUAAAUGAGUAAGCAAAUAUUCACCCCUUGCAGUCCAAGUAGUCUCAAUGACUGUGGUCUCAGAGAGUCUGAAGAAAGAAUGGCUUCUUCAGUGUUGCAUCCUGCUUUAUGGGCACUUAAUGCUGAUUAACGUAGGAAGAUUUCUUUUUUCCUGAGCAUCUCAGCAGUUGCUUCCAAAGGAUAUUGACUACAGAACAGAUCCAGAAGGAAUUUGCUGCUGUUUCUACUUUUGUUUUGCAGAAAAGUUUGGGUAAAAGAGCUGCAGAUCUUUCCAGGGUAACCAGAGUGACAAGUCAAGGCACAACUUGUACCCUUUGACAGGAGAUGCUGAACUCUGAGAUGUUUUUGUUGUGUGGACAAAGUGGACAUCAGUCCUGUAUUAGGUACCAGCCUGGUACUACAGGCACAAAAAGAACGUAUCUCUCCACUUCUUUUCCUUCAUCUCCCCAAGCCUUGUUCCCUAAAUCAGCUCACAUUAGUGCAGAACGUUUUUGUCAUACUAACACUGACAGUAAGAGCCAUUAUGAUUUUAAGUAAAAUAGUGCUUGCAAGACCAAAAUUUUUAUUUAAACAAGCCACCCAGAAUGCUCUCACAGCAAAUUUCUUAGCUUUAGAUUCCAUAGCAUUUACUCUAUAUGAUGUGUAGCUAAAUGUAGCAUAGCUUGGUACAGGGUUUCCUCUAAAUCUCAGUAUAGCGAUUCCUUAAGUGAAUGUGAUGCUCUGGCAGUUGUGAAUGUGCAAGUUUUGCCUGAAAUAUGCACACUUCAAUAAACAAUUAAGACUCCACUGUGUGCAAUAGGACAGGGAAAUAUUAGAAAUUUCCUUUUUAGUAAUGGGAAUAAUGCAGUCUUCAUCAAACAUUGCUGUCUCUUGUGGGCAUAAAAUGCAAUUUAACAGAAAGGUUACACUCAUCUCUCUCAAAAGUGCAGGGUGUAAUUCGCAUUUCUCCAAGAGGUUUUGCACAUUGUGUCUCUUAGGCCUUCAAGUGGUAAUCAAAUACAGUGCAGUAAGAGGCUUGCCCUCUAAACUGAUAAAAGUCAACCCUACCACAGCUCCAAGACAAUUCAAUGCUGAUGAUGAGUUCAAAAGCUCUCCUGGGAGAACAGGAGUUCAGGCCAACUGAGCUUACAAAUCUCUGCAAAUUACCCUGAGCAUGUUUGGGCAGUUAGAAACCAAAUCUUCUCCUGUUCCAGUAGUCCCUGUUUGAGAAGAGGUGGCACAGACAUGAUUUCUGCUGCAACUUGCAGUUGCAUGCCAGACUAUGCACAGUCUUACGUCUUGAGCUCGUGGUUAGCCUGAUGAUGUAGUGUCCCUUUGGCUUUUCCUUCCCUUGUUUUCUUUCCCACUACCGUUUUGAGGAUCCUGCUAACUGUAAACUAGUUUUGAGUUUCUGCCAAAUGAGUAUCCGCCUUCAACCUGACUCAGCUUGAAGAAAUUUGCUUCAGGUCUUGCACUGCCUCAUUUCAUUAAGUACACUUAGUCACCUCAAUAUCUGCCUUCUUCUGGGGGAGAGCAUACUGACUUCUGAUGCAGAUGACCAAGCCUCUGUUCCAGUCAUCAGGAUAAAGUGAUGUGGAGAAGGUCUAGUCUUCUCUUCCAUUACAGUGACUUCUUUUAUCAUAGUUAAGUGGCAUCACCUCAUGGCAUUUUCACAAGUUGCUUUGCUGCAAUGCCCAACAGUGCUCACCCACAGCCAUGGGCUCCACGGGUAUACAGCCAUCCUGCAGUGGCACACUUCAUAUGGAGUACAUCUUUCUGGGCUAUGAGGGCAUCAGACUGCCUGACAGCACUGCUCAGAGAAGCUGGCUAAAGGAUGCUUUGCCAGAAUUUAGUGUUGGCUUGCAGAACGUCACUGUCUUCUCCAUAUAUCAGUAACAUACCUGGAGGAGAUAGAAUUGGCUACAAACUAUGUUAGCUAGAAGCUACCUACAAUGAUCAUUUAGUCCAACUGCCUAAUCACUUAAGGGCUAACAAAAUCAGAGCAUCUUAUUAAGGGCAUUGUCCAAAUCAGGUACUGUCCAAAUGCCUCUUAAACACAGACAGGCUUGGGGUAUCAACCACCUCUCUAGGAAGCCUGUCCCAGUGUCUGACCACCUUCUCAAUAAAGAAAUGCUUCCUCAUGUCCAGUCUAGAUGUCUUUCAAAGGUGGCUUCCUUGAUAUUCAUCCCAUUUUAUCACUUCAGGAUCUCCAAGGGAUGAAGUACAUUUCAGCAGCUAAGUGAUAGAGCUGAGAAUUUUAAUUCACUUUCCCCCAGAGCAAUUGAGAACAUAAUGCUAAACCCAGCUCUGGGGCCCAACCUGAAACUUGUAAGGAUCCCCCAGGGUUUCAAGGUCUCGUGAAACAUUACAAUAUUGCAGGAUGCCUGCAUGCUGUUUAGAUCUUCUCUGGCGGUCUCUAACGGCCAGUAAAGGAGAUUCCCUUUUAGCUUGCACUACACAAGGACUAAAAUGUCACUUUCCUAAAGCACUUAUGGUCUAGACAGACAUGAAGAAUUCAGGAAGUAAAAGAGGAAAAGAAAACACAAGCACAGAAAAUAUGGUGAUUAGGUGACAAGGUCCUGUCAGUUUUAAGAUGUUUUGUGGCCAUCUAUGAUUGGAGUUGUUUUGUGGAAGAGGACAUGACCUAAAGAAAAGAUAAAGGAGGACAUGAGAAAAGGGAGGACAGGAUAUCAUGAAUAAGUAUGCAUGAAGAAAGCUGAAGUGAAAGUUUUCUCACAUCUCUUUUCCCUAGCUUAAGUGCCAUCCAUACACAUUUAUGUUGCAGUACUUAAAUAAGAGCUGUCAGGCCUAACACAUUUUUGCCUGAAUUAUUCAUAAAUCUGUAUGAUCACAAGAGAAGAAGGAGUUAUUUGGAUUAAACUAAUUUUCAUUAACAUAACUGGCAUAUAAUUACUAGUUUCAUUCAAGUAACUUACCUUAGCACAGGUUCUGCAGCAACCAUAAUAAACAUAUAUGUUCUUUAAAAAAAGUUCUGAAAGCUUAAUUUUCUCCUACAAUAGACCUACCAAGCCUCUUCCUGUUUGCCUUUUGCACACAAUUAACAUUUCAUUUAAUAUUUCUAUAUUCCAGGUAGAUGCCAGAAGAGAAAUUGGUCCUAAAGCAGUAAUCACUAGCAGUCAUGUGAAGAAUGACAGGCUAACCAUGGAAAGUAAUUGAAAUUCAUCUCUGCUAUUGCAUCUAUGGAUUACACUGUUAAAAAGCAAUUUGUUGCUACAAGCAGUUACUUCCAAAAUAAACCAGCGAGGUCAAA